CACAAAUAGCUCAGCUGGUAGAGCAUGAGACUCUUGAGCUCAGGGUCGUGGGGUUGAUCCCCACAUUGAGGA